rnacentral:rRNA from 2 species
CGCCUCUUGAAUACACAUAAGAGGUCCUGCCUGCCCAGUGACCACAUUCAACGGCCGCGGUAUCCUAACCGUGCAAAGGUAGCGUAAUCACUUGUUCUUUAAAUAUGGACUAGUAUGAACGGCCCCACGAGAGCUUAACUGUCUCCUUUCUCUAAUCAGUGAAACUAAUCUCCCCGUGAAGAAGCGAGGAUAAAUCUAUAAGACGAGAAGACCCUAUGGAGCUUUAAACAACACAUCAUUUACCAUUAAAAUUUAUAUAACUAAAUUAUUGGACAACAUGACUGUACGUUUUUGGUUGGGGUGACCACGGAGUAAAACAUAACCUCCACGCUGAGUGAUACUUUAAGCCAAGAACAACCUAUCUAAGAAUUAUUAUAAUAACACCCAUUGACCCAAUAUACUUGAGCAACGAACCAAGUUACCCUAGGGAUAACAGCGCAAUCUACUUCAAGAGCCCCUAUCGACAAGUGGGUUUACGACCUCGAUGUUGGAUCAGGGUAUCCUAGUGGUGCAGCCGCUACUAAAGGCUCGUUUGUUCAACGAUUAAAACCCUACG